GACGGAGGAUGCAAGCGUUAUCCGGAAUUAUUGGGCGUAAAGCGUCCGCAGGUGGCUGUUCAAGUCUGCUGUCAAAGCGCAGAGCUUAACUCUGUACAGGCGGUGGAAACUGAAGAGCUAGAGUAUGGUAGGGGUAGAGGGAAUUCCCGGUGUAGCGGUGAAAUGCGUAGAUAUCGGGAAGAACACCAGUGGCGAAAGCGCCUUCCUGGACCAGUACCGACGUUCAGGCACGAAAGCGUGGGGAGCAAACAGG
rnacentral:rRNA from 1 species